ACCAGGUCACACACACACUCCUCACAUGUGCAAACACUAAUUGCUUAACUGAUCACUAACCAAUCACUGCUUUACUGUAGUAUAGGCCUAUAAAUAGGUCAAAGGUCAGAUUACCGUACCUGUUUUGAACAAUGGAUGCCAACAAUGGACAGAGAGCAAGAGGAGUAGGAGGGAGAGGCAGGGGACAACAACGAGGACAAAUUCAAAGACGAAGAGUUGGAGGAGUAGGAGGAAGAGGAAGAGGAAGAAGAGGACGAGGGCAAAGAAGAGAAGGAAGGAGAGCCAUCUCUGAUGAGAUUAGGGCAACACUUGUUGAUCAUGUGAUCAACCACGGUUUGACCAUGAGAGAGGCUGGACUGAGAGUCCAGCCCAACUUGAGUCGAUUUACAGUGGCGUCCAUAAUUCGAAUCUUCAGAAAUGAGAACAGAGUGGAAAGGCAAAGACAUCAUGGAGGACGAGGAUGCUUGUUUACAGAUGUACAAGAGACUGCAAUUAUAAAUAUGGUUUUGGCCAACAAUGCAAUUAGGAUUUGAGAGAUAGAGCAUAUCUUGAAUAAUGACACCAUAUUUAACAACAUCAAUGCUGUAAGCCUGUCGACCAUACAACGCAUCCUCCAACGGCACCGAGUGACGAUGAAACAACUUUACAAGGUGCCAUUUGAGAGAAACUCUGACAGAGUCAAGAAUAUGCGACAUGACUUUGUAGCGGUAUGUAUGCAACACUACUUCCAGUACUUCAGACAUACCAUAUUUACUCAUCUGUAUAUCCUUUUGUCUGUUACAGAGAGUAUUGGAGCUGGAUGCCCAUGUAAUUCGCCAUGAAUUUAUUUAUGUGGAUGAGGUUGGCUUCAACCUCACCAAAACCAGGCGCCGCGGAAGAAAUGUAAUAGGACAGAGGGCAAUUACCAAUGUCCCUGGACAGCGUGGGGGUAAUAACUAUGUGUGCUGCCAUCACUCAAAACGGGGUCCUCCAUCACAAUGCCACACUGGGUCCGUACAACACCGGCCAUAUGCUCACUUUUCUGGAUGCAAUUUACACAAUGCUUGUCCUUGAUCCAGAUCAGGAGCCUGCUAGAUUUGUGGUUUUAUGGGACAAUGUUAGUUUUCACCGGGCUGUUCUGGUCCAAAACUGGUUUGCCACCCAUCCACAAUUUGUAGUUUUG
rnacentral:lncRNA from 1 species